rnacentral:rRNA from 1 species
CCUACGGGAGGCAGCAGUGGGGAAUAUUGCACAAUGGGGGAAACCCUGAUGCAGCGACGCCGCGUGAGGGAAGAAGUAUUUCGGUAUGUAAACUUCUAUCAGCAGGGAAGAAAAUGACGGUACCUGACUAAGGAGCCCCGGCUAACUACGUGCCAGCACCCGCGGUAAUACGUAGGGGGCAAGCGUUAUCCGGAUUUACUGGGUGUAAAGGGGGCGUAGGCGGUUUAGCAAGUCUGAAGUGAAAGCCCGGGGCUUAACUCCGGGACUGCUUUUGAAACUGUUGAACUAGAGUGCAGGAGAGGUAAGUGGAAUUCCAAGUGUAGCGGUGAAAUGCGUAGAUAUUAGGAGGAACACCAGUGGCGAAGGCGGCUUACUGGACGGUAAAUGACGCUGAGGCUCGAAAGCGUGGGGAGCAAACAGGAUUAGAUACCCCUGUAGUC